UCUAGGGCACACAUCUAACAUAUGGAUGUUCUCUCUAUUCUCUUUAAUAUUAAGAAGUUAUAUGGGGAACAAAGUCGAACUGCUUGAUAUGAGAUAUUAAAGUAGUUGUUCCAUGUCCGUAUGACUUAAGGUACCUCCAUGCAAACACAUGUCUUGAAGAUGAUUGAUCUGAUCACUCGUCUAGGACAAUUGGAUUUUGCCAUAGAUGGUGAACUAAGGUAGGAUUUGAUCCUGCAGUCUCU
rnacentral:lncRNA from 1 species